AACGCAUAUUGCGCCCUUUGGUAUUCCGGAGGGCAUGCCUGUCCGAGCGUCAUUACUAUCUUCAAGCACGGCUUGUGUGUUGAGCAUUUGUUCUUUAAUGGACAAGCUUGAAAUGCAGUGGCAAUGCUGCGUCUGGUGCCCGAGCGUUAUAGGGCUUUGUCACCCGCUCCGUUGGCUCCAGCCAGCAUUUUUUGGCCAUUAAAACUUUUUUUUUAAAAAAAAUAUCAAAAACUGACCUCGGAUCAGGCAAGAAUACCCGCUGAACUUAA
rnacentral:misc_RNA from 1 species